UUUAUAUGAGAGUUUGAUCCUGGCUCAGGAUGAACGCUGGCGGCGUGCCUAAUACAUGCAAGUCGAACGAGUUCUCGUUGAUGAUCGGUGCUUGCACCGAGAUUCAACAUGGAACGAGUGGCGGACGGGUGAGUAACACGUGGGUAACCUGCCCUUAAGUGGGGGAUAACAUUUGGAAACAGAUGCUAAUACCGCAUAGAUCCAAGAACCGCAUGGUUCUUGGCUGAAAGAUGGCGUAAGCUAUCGCUUUGGAUGGACCCGCGGCGUAUUAGCUAGUUGGUGAGGUAAUGG
rnacentral:rRNA from 1 species